GGUUUUGCAGGUUCUCACUUGGAGAGUUUCUAGUACUCUACCAGUCUCGAGUUGGGGAGGGAGAGUCAAGCAGAGGCCUGUCCAUUCCAUUCCUAGCUUGGGCAGUGGCUAGCGAGUGGAAGGAAAUCUGCUACAAGU